GAACGAACGCCGGCGGCGUGCCUAACACAUGCAAGUCGAACGAGAAGUACGUAGCAAUACGUAUUGUAAAGUGGCGCACGGGUGAGUAACACGUGGGUAAUCUGCCCUUGAGUUUGGGAUAACCCCGCGAAAGCGGGGCUAAUACCGAAUAAGACCACGGGGACCAAAGUCCCUGAGGUAAAAGGUGGCCUCUAUUUAUAAGCUACCACUUGAGGAUGAGCCCGCGGCCCAUUAGCUAGUUGGCAGGGUAACGGCCUACCAAGGCGAUGAUGGGUAGCUGGUCUGAGAGGACGAUCAGCCACACUGGAACUGAGACACGGUCCAGACUCCUACGGGAGGCAGCAGUGGGGAAUAUUGCGCAAUGGGCGAAAGCCUGACGCAGCAACGCCGCGUGGGGGAUGAAGGUUCUCGGAUUGUAAACCCCUUUCGACCGGAACGAAUCUCCUCUUGGUGAACAAUCAGGAGGAUCGACGGUACCGGGAGAAGAAGCCACGGCUAACUCUGUGCCAGCAGCCGCGGUAAGACAGAGGUGGCGAGCGUUGUUCGGAUUUAUUGGGCGUAAAGCGUACGCAGGCGGUUUGGUAAGUCAGAGGUGAAAGACCACAGCUUAACUGUGGCACUGCCUUUGAUACUGCCUUUCUAGAGUGCAUGAGGGGGAAGCGGAAUUCCGAGUGUAGAGGUGAAAUUCGUAGAUAUUCGGAGGAACACCGGUGGCGAAGGCGGCUUCCUGGCAUGUAACUGACGCUCAUGUACGAAAGCGUGGGUAGCAAACAGGAUUAGAUACCCUGGUAGUCCACGCCCUAAACGAUGGGCACUAGGUGUGGGAGGUAUCGACCCCUUCCGUGCCGCAGCUAACGCAUUAAGUGCCCCGCCUGGGGAGUAC
rnacentral:rRNA from 1 species